AAUGAACGUUGGCGGCGUGGAUUAGGCAUGCAAGUCGAGCGAGAAUUUGCGAUUGGAAGCUUCGGCCGAAGAAAGUGAAGGAAAGCGGCAAACGGCGUAGUAAGGCGUAGGUACGUACCCUCGGGUCGGGAAUAGCCAUGGGAAACUGUGGGUAAUGCCCGAUAAUCUCUGCGGAGCAAAGGUGUGAUUCCGCCGGAGGAGCGGCUUACGUGAUAUUAGCUAGUUGGUGGGGUAAUGGCCUACCAAGGCAACGAUGUCUAGGGGGUGUGAGAGCAUGGCCCCCACGACCGGAACUGAGACACUGUCCGGACACCUACGGGUGGCUGCAGUCGAGAAUCUUCCGCAAUGGGCGAAAGCCUGACGGAGCGACGCCGCGUGGUGGAUGAAGGCCCUUGGGUUGUAAACACCUGUCAGAGGGGAUGAAAUCAUGGUUGGCAAUCCUUCCAUGUUGACAGAGCCUCAGAGGAAGCACGGGCUAAGUACGUGCCAGCAGCCG
rnacentral:rRNA from 1 species